rnacentral:rRNA from 2 species
AGUCGAACGGAAAGGCCCUUCGGGGUACUCGAGUGGCGAACGGGUGAGUAACACGUGGGUGAUCUGCCCUGCACUUUGGGAUAAGCCUGGGAAACUGGGUCUAAUACCGGAUAGGACCACGGUCUGCAUGGAUUGUGGUGGAAAGCUUUUGCGGUGUGGGAUGGGCCCGCGGCCUAUCAGCUUGUUGGUGAGGUUACGGCUCACCAAGGCGACGACGGGUAGCCGGCCUGAGAGGGUGUCCGGCCACACUGGGACUGAGAUACGGCCCAGACUCCUACGGGAGGCAGCAGUGGGGAAUAUUGCACAAUGGGCGCAAGCCUGAUGCAGCGACGCCGCGUGAGGGAUGACGGCCUUCGGGUUGUAAACCUCUUUCGCCAGGGACGAAGCGCRAGUGACGGUACCUGGAGAAGAAGCACCGGCCAACUACGUGCCAGCAGCCGCGGUAAUACGUAGGGUGCGAGCGUUGUCCGGAAUUACUGGGCGUAAAGAGCUCGUAGGUGGUUUGUCGCGUUGUUCGUGAAAACUCACAGCUUAACUGUGGGCGUGCGGGCGAUACGGGCAGACUGGAGUACUGCAGGGGAGACUGGAAUUCCUGGUGUAGCGGUGGAAUGCGCAGAUAUCAGGAGGAACACCGGUGGCGAAGGCGGGUCUCUGGGCAGUAACUGACGCUGAGGAGCGAAAGCGUGGGGAGCGAACAGGAUUAGAUACCCUGGUAGUCCACGCCGUAAACGGUGGGUACUAGGUGUGGGUUUCCUUCCUUGGGAUCCGUGCCGUAGCUAACGCAUUAAGUACCCCGCCUGGGGAGUACGGCCGCAAGGCUAAAACUCAAAGGAAUUGACGGGGGCCCGCACAAGCGGCGGAGCAUGUGGAUUAAUUCGAUGCAACGCGAAGAACCUUACCUGGGUUUGACAUGCACAGG